ensembl:lncRNA
GUUUCUCUCGGGGAGCAAGUGACUCCAGAGACAAACGGGGCUUCUACGCUGACCCAGCAUACUGAUGAAGCAGGUAAGAAGUGGCUUGAGAGUAAUGGCUCCCAAAGGAGCACGACAAACCACGUUCUUGGCAACUGUCUUUAUUUGCACAAACGUGGGGCUGGUUUUAGGAUACAGAUACAGGACAUUGCUCCAAGUUGUUCAGUGCCUCCUUCCUCAGUUAAGCACAUUCAUUGGUCUCAGUGGGACCUAAGAAACAGCUUUCCGUGCUGGUACACAGAGAGGAGUUUGGCAGAAGGAGGUAGCUUCAAAUUAUAGCCAAAACUGUGGAUGAUAAGGGCUCAAUUUAUAGCCAAGCGGAACAGGCCUGGAGAUCACGAUCACGGUGCUGAGGUGCUGCUUCUGCAGUCUAGUCCUGGUAUUAGAAUUCACAUGUUCGGUUAACACAAAGACCUCAGUCCUGUGCGAGCCCUGACAUUCAGGCAAUUCAGGUACGGUAAAACAGCAGGCGAUAGAUAACAUGUCCCUCAACACUUCUUCCACCCAUUUCCUAUGGAUUUCUUCUCUUCACGUUGUUCAUUGUUCAUUCACUUUUUUUUUUUUCCCAUUGCAGUAAUCAAUGCAGCUAUGAACGAGGAGGCCCCAAAGACUUCGACAGAUGUUUGUGACCAUCAGAUGGAAAAGACAACAGAGGAAAACACUGUUCCCAAAGACAGAGAGACUGCAACAUCUGCACAAGAUGGCAAGUUUCUCAGAUGCGCAGAAACUCUCAACUUGAUGAAAACUGAAGACAAGUGUCCAAAAGGUAAGGGCUAUCCGGACCAGACCAUUCCACUGGCACAGCCGAGGGAAGCACUACGCCAGCCCAAAAGCACCAUGCCGUCUGCUCUUGCCAGAAUGAGAGCCAUGAACGAAAUCAUCAAGGGCCAUGGACAUUCUGUAAGACGGCCACGUCACCAAGGAGCUGCUGGGCUGCCAGUUCUAAGUGUCUGUGAAGAAGAAAACCCAAAAGUUCAAAGAGGCGACAUCUCUUCAGAGGGGAGGCUCCCUAAGCCUAAAGAGCUGCAGAUGAGGGAGGCACUGAGAGGGCCCAAAGGCAAAAGCAAUUGUGCAGCUUCCAGAAUUAAGGCAAUCAACGACAUCCACAGGAAUCUAAAACAUUCUCAAAGGCCUCCAAACCAGGAAGGAGCUGCUUUUCUGGUGGAGGAUGUGCAAGGGCUCAAAACCACAGACUCCAACCUAAAGAACAAAAACGCCAGCUUCAUGGUCUAUGUGUUGUGCAGUAAUGCACAACAAGUUGACAAUAAAGAGAUGAAAUGACUUAAAACUAAUAGGCUUGUCUGAACUUUUGCUGCCUGUCUCUCUUGCUAGGAGUCUCAGCAGUCUUCUAGCAUCUUUCUUCGGCAAAGGCAUGUCUAAAAGAAAAAACGUAAAAAGCACAAUCAGAGGAAGAACUCUGGAUCUCCAAAGUACCAAUCUGCAGGUCUGAUAUACAGGCUGCCAUUAUGUCAGGAUAACAACAAACAGCUGCCCAGGAAGAUUAAUCUGACUUUGAAUUCAGUAGACACUGCAAUACUAUGCUCCUCAGAAAAUCAGGACAUUUGUGACCUGCUUUUCAUCCCAAAAGAUGGAUUCUUCUGCCAUCAGUCAGGUGCUAGUAAACUGCCAGCACGAGAGCAACACACAGACUACAUGGAUAUAUAGUUGAGACCAGGGGUAAAGGGGACCACAGGGGUCAGGUCCAUAGACCCUCGCAAUAGUUGCUUCCAGUCAGUAGAAAACUACCUUUUACUCCUCAACAUCAGAAACUCUGCUUGCAGAUGUUAGAAGGAACCAAACCUUCCAACCUCCUGGCCCCUGCCCCAACAAGAAUCCAUCUCCAAUCUCUAGAGAAGGACUAGCUCCUAGAAAGACUGGCUGCACAGGACACCAAGAGAACAAGCACAAAUGUUGUGUGAGCAUGCGUGAGUGAAGGGUGGGUGUGAGUGUAAGCCUUUGCCAGUCCUUCCUUUCCCACAGCAUCCCUACUGGCACGAUGCUACAGAGCCUCUGUGACCCUGAGCCACAGCUGCGCAAGUGUGGUGGUGCCCUGUGGCAACAGGGAUCGUAGGCCUGGAGCCCAAGAAGGGGCAAGAGUAUCUUCUCUGGCUGAAGCGGCCAGCCAGCAGCUAACUUGGCUAUCAGCAAAGUCCUUCAGGACAACUUCACCACCUUACUGCCAGAACAGUCACUACUGUAUUCGGAUAUUACUUUUUAAAAGAAGUUUCCUGCAUAUAGGUGAAGCUGUACUAUCAGAGUGCAUCUUUCCCCUAUACAAAUACCCUUUUAAGUAAAUUAUUCCUUCACAUACAACUUCAUGCAUUUUUUUGGACAUAGGUGGUCCAGCACAAAGCCUGAUACUGUUCAUGUGAUAAAUGGGCAGGAGGGGGCAAGAGAAUAAAAAUGAAAUGCUGAAGGUAUUUGCA